ACACCUCAACUCUCAUGGUUCGCCGUGAUGAGCUUGGACUUUGGGGGUCUUGCUGGCCUGCGGUCGGCUCCUCUCAAAUGAAUCAGCUUGCCAGUGUUUGGUGGCAUCACAGGUGUGAUAACUAUCUACGCUUGUGGUUUUCUACCAGGUAACCUUCAGCAAUGGAGGUUCGCUGGAGCUCAUAAAUGUCUCUCCCCAGUGAAGACAGCUUCGUGAAC
rnacentral:misc_RNA from 1 species